AGCUUUUCUCAUUCAAACAUUUACAUGUAUGCCCAAUAGAAAUCAGGAAAGUCAAGGAAUGAGCUYCGAAAGCAAAGGGAAGCAGAGGAGGUUAAGAAAAAUAUUGAUGCUUUUGAAGCCAGUCUAAAGGCUACCAUUCCUCCAGCCAGUCCAGCUAGAAUGGAAAAUGGGUCACCCAAACCUGGUCAUGAUGUAGAYAUUGAUACAUUCAUUCCACCACCACAAACUGCUAAAGGUCUCUCKGAACCAUUGUCAAGCAUCAAGCCGGAUGCAAGUAGAAGCUACAUCAAYAAAAUAAGAACAAGACUUGAUGAAGAUGCUGUGGCCAGACAGGUAC